AUGAAGCCUUACACAAAACCUGAGACUUUCCUGCUAGCCCCCAUGCUGCUCUGCACCCUCCCGGGUCUGGAGGGCUCCGUGGACGUGACCAGCUACAAGGGGUGCUUGAAAUCCAGCGAGUGUGACCCGGGAUUCCUCUCCAUCACUGUGGCUCCGGAGAACACAUGGGGUCCAACACGCGCUGCUGCCAGAGCGAUGGCUGCAACCACAAUCCCCUGCCCGGUAAGCCCCAGCUGAGCCCCACGGCUGGAGUCCCUCCCUGCCCACCCCUCCGCCCACCAGAGCCAGCUGUGAGCACCUGUCACUGACCUGCGCUGUCACCGGGGCAAGCGUCUUCCUUGCGCUGAGCCUUGGGUUCUUCUCCUGUAAACUGCAGUGUCCAGGGACUUCCCAGGUGGUCCAGUGACUAAGACUCCAUGCUCCUAUGCAGGGGUUGGAUCCCUGGUCAGGGAACUCAAUUCCACAGGGCGCAACUAAGAUCCAGUCAAAUAAAUAUUAUUUUCUAAAAACGCA
rnacentral:lncRNA from 1 species